GGUUUGUGUAGAAAAAGAAAAAGAAAAUAAAAAGAAAAGGGGUGUUUUUUGGGGGGUGGGGGGUAUAAAAAGGAAGUCUUGCCCAGUUGUUUAAUAAAGAAUAAAGAUACAUUAAUGUGAAAAGCACAAAUUUUAUUAACAGAGAUGAUGGAAUUAAAGGGAGGUAAAAAAUUUUCUAAUGUUUAAUAGCAGGUAAAAACAAACUUUAAAA